AGAGAGAGACAUGCGCGCAUAUCAAUAAGCGGAGGAAAAGAAACUAACAAGGAUUCCCCUAGUAACGGCGAGUGAAGCGGGAAGAGCUCAAAUUUGAAAUCUUAAAGGGUUUCCCUUUACGAAUUGUAGUUUAAAGAAGUGUUUUCUGUUGAGGUUUUGGUAAAAGUUCUUUGGAAUAGGACAUCAUAGAGGGUGAGAAUCCCGUAUUUGACCUUUACUUUCAACUUUGUGAUACACUUUCAAAGAGUCGGAUUGUUUGGGAAUGCAGUCCAAAAUGGGUGGUAAAUUUCAUCUAAAGCUAAAUAUUGGCGAGAGACCGAUAGCGAACAAGUACCGUGAGGGAAAGAUGAAAAGAACUUUGAAAAGAGAGUUAAACAGUACGUGAAAUUGUCAAAAGGGAAGCGUUUGACACCAGUGUUGUUUUUCUGAAAAUCAAUUAAAGAACUGUUUAUGCUAAGCUGUUUAGACUUUAUCAGCUAACUGUUUAGUUUUGAGCUUUUCUUUAAUGCACUUUUCAGUUAACAAGUCAACAUCAAUUUCUUUUGCUGUAAAAAAGCUUGAGGAAGGUGGCUUGAGAUUCGUCUUAAGUGUUUAUAGCCUCUUGCCUAUGCAGUCGGAGAGAUUGAGGUCUGCAGCGUAGAUCCUUCGGGGCUAAAUGCACUUUGUGCUAAGUUAUAGCAUUUUAUAGACAACUUGUUGACUAUGAUUUGUCUUGUAGCUUACUCGCUUAUGUUAUUUUACCUACGCUUAGGAUGUUGACGCAUGAGAUAUACGC
rnacentral:rRNA from 1 species